UACAGAGGUCUCAAGCGUUGUUCGGAUUCAUUGGGCGUAAAGAGUGUGUAGGCGGUGCUCUAAGUUCGGUGUGAAAUCUCCCGGCUUAACUGGGAGGGUGCGCCGGAAACUGGAGUGCUCGAGCGUGGGAGAGGAAAGCGGAAUUCCUGGUGUAGCGGUGAAAUGCGUAGAUAUCAGGAAGAACACCAAUGGCGAAAGCAGCUUUCUGGGACGGUACUGACGCUGAGACGCGAAAGCGUGGGGAGCGAACAGG
rnacentral:rRNA from 1 species